ensembl:lncRNA
GAACGUGCAGAGCAUUUCAGAGCUUGUGAUGGUUUAUACAUCAGCCCUGCGCAAACUACGCAUCAUACCUACAGCAGUGACAACCACCUUGCAGCUGAAUCAGCUCUGUGGUGAGGAGAGCUGUGGUCUGUCUGCAGUGCUACCAGAAAAGAUACGAACACAACAGUGAAAUGAAAGAGCAGCUCAUCAAGAGCACUUUGGGUUCCUGGAGAAACUUCCCACAGUGCAAAAGAGUUUCUAAGCUGUCCUGAAGAAAAAGACAAACUUGGGAGGAGCAGAAGAUCCCUUGCUUGCUGUUGGUCUUCAUUGUCAGAGCCAGUUUCUGGAAGAUCUGAAAUCUCUUCUGACAGACCCACUGGGAUCUCUGGUGGCUUGGCUGCUGAGUAGGCACAUUGAAGAAAAUCAAAAACUAUGUCUUCUGUUUGGGCCUAAAAUGUGGCUGUGUCCAACCACCAGCUCUCCAGGAAAGUUCCUCUUCAGAGGAGAGACCAUUGAAGCCAAGGAGUGGGAAAUGUGCUGGAGAGGAUGUGCUCCCUUGGGCAAAGCAAAGCAGUGUGCAGCUACUUUUCUGUUUCCUCCUUGUUG